rnacentral:rRNA from 1 species
UACAGAGGUCCCGAGCGUUUGUUCGGAUUCACUGGGCGUAAAGGGUGCGUAGGUGGCGAAGUAAGUCGGAUGUGAAAUCUCGGAGCUUAACUCCGAAACGGCAUUGGAAACUACUUUGCUAGAGGUUUGGAGGGGGGACUGGAAUGCUUGGUGUAGCAGUGAAAUGCGUAGAUAUCAAGCGGAACACCAGUGGCGAAGGCGAGUCCCUGGACAACACCUGACACUGAGGCACGAAAGCUAGGGGAGCAAACAGG